GGAGAGAUGGCCGAGUGGUCGAAGGCGCCUGAUUCGAAAUCAGGUGAGCUCGCAAGGGUUCCGGGGGUUCGAAUCCCUUUCUCUCCGCCA
rnacentral:tRNA from 1 species